rnacentral:lncRNA from 12 species
AUGUCAAGCUCCUUGGUGGUAACCGGAUUCACCAAUUCUGCUGGAACAUGCCUGAGGAGACCUGCAAGGGGAUUGACACUGGAGGACAGAAAAUGCUCGUGGCACAGAGCAACGUGUUUGCAUGAGACAACACUUUCAGCAAACUUCAGCACCAGGGUCUGCUUUGUCAUGCUGUUGGAUUUCAGUUGCUGUGGAUGAACCAGUGAUCACUGCCACCAUUUUUCACAGUCUGGGGAGGAUAAGGCCUGAUGACUGAAGACAAGGAAGUUGAAAAAGGAAGCAACUACUUGGUCCUGUCUUAAUUCUGAAAACUUUGCUGAUAUUUGUGUUCCUACACCAUGUACUCCAUGUGUAUGCUGGCAUGGUUCUUGUUGAUGCUCAGACUAAUAUUAAUCAAUACAGUCGAUUGUUGUGUGUCUGAACAUAUUGCAUAAUAUGAGCCACAGGGUUUAACCCACAACCUUGCCUCUGCUAAACUGAUC